UGUCGCACCUUUUGUCUCGACACAAACAAGUCUAAGCAUGUUAUAAUCCGCUGCUAUGAUUUCACCGCCGCUUUCAUCCCCCAGAGUAAUUAAUUUACCGGCUUUCACAUGCUUAACUUCUUAUUAGGCUGCUCAUUACUGUGACAAAAGUCGACCUCCGGGCUAUGACAGCUUGUCCAUGGGGACCCCCAGACGCUCACAACGCACACCCGCCUCUCCCCCGUGCUCCCUCCAGGCAAACUCCACUGGUGCUCAGCGGGAGGCCGGUUACAUUCCCGCGCCCGAGCAACUGGAGGCAGCAUACAGAAGAAGACUUUUCAGUCUGUUCUGAUUGGCGUCUUCCUGUCAUGACACACGCACAGUCCGUUCCUCCCUCGUCUGCGGAAGCACUCAGCAGCUCCACUCUGAGUACGUCCAGACACGCCCCCACACGCGCUGCGCAGACCGCACCCACACGUGCUGUGCAGACCGCACCCACAUGCCGCCGCAGCUGGAGACAAUCAUCAAUCAAGACACCUGGCAGUGAUUACAGACGACAGGAUAAAGAGCCUCGCCGCUGAUUACUCCUCGUCGGAACGUUGCUUUGCUUGCAUCCCUGUCUCAGCUCCCGCUGUCAUAUUCCCCUGAAUCCUGUUUGCCCUCCUGAUUACCCGACACCUUGCCUGGACUUUGGACGCUCUCUCCUGUACUACGACCACGCUUGGACCCCCGGACCUCUUUGCCUUCUCCCUCUGGAUUUGGACGCCACCAUUCAACACGCAUGACAACACCCCUUACGGUAUCUUUAUAUAUUAAUUCCAGCACAUAGUUUACAUUCAAACACAUAGUAGCAUACACACCCUACGUAAUCAUAAAUCACUCAAUAAAUACAUUGAGUUUAUACUUCUGCUGUUGUGCCGUCUCCUUCCCCCUGUCUAAGACAUAACAGAACGUUCCGACCAAGAUGGAACCAGACGGCACAAAACAUCCCCCACCUGGAACUCUGGUCCGAACUUCCCCUCCUAGAGACCUAUCUGCCAUCGAGUCUGUCAUUCGACAACAUCAGGCCCGAUUUUCCACCUUGGAGGACAAACUUGAUGUCGCAUUUGCUAGUCUGCUGUCAAGAUUGGACAAACUCAGUACAGGUCAGGUGACACCUCCCACUCCCAUUUUUAGCUCUUCUGAGGCACCUGCCCCCGAAGGACCGUCUUCCCUUCGCGAACCAGAGAUAGCCAGUCCUAAGAUUUUUGAGGGGGAUUUCGAACUUUGUCGUGGCUUCUUGGUUCAAUGUGAAUUUAUUUUUGAACACCAACCAUCUCGUUAUGCUAACGAUGGGGCCAAGAUAGCCUUUAUGUUUUCCUUAUUUUCUGGACCUGCCCUUAAAUGGGCCACUUCCGCCCUUAGCAAGCCUUCGGGGUUUAACUGUAAUUAUUCUGCGUUUCGUAAAGAAUUUCUGGCUGUUUUUGAUCAUCCCACGGAUGGAAGAGAUGCUGCAGCUAAGCUUCAUUCCCUCAGACAGGGUCACCGCUCCGUGGCUAAAUACACCCUAGAAUUCCGCACUUUGGCAGCUGAGAGUGGUUGGGAUGACAGGGCUCUUUUGAGUGCCUA